CCCCCCUCCAGGACCAAGACCUCGUGGCUCUCGUGCAGAAUCCCUUUGGUGCUGGCAGGAAGUGAAAGAGCAAAUUGGUUUUGCAAACUCAGUGAGAGCAUCCUCAGGGAGGCUGAGAAAAGUUCCCCUCUCCCUUUUACUGGAUUCAACCAGCCUGGAAAUCAAGUAAGUUCCCUCAGGGCUAGGUGACUGUAAUUCCCCAGGGCUCUGGAAACCCUUGGGAGGUACAAUCUCCCUAACCUUGGGACUUGAUCGAAGAAGACAUCUAGCCAGAAGUCCCUUGGAGCUGAUAGGCUGCGGUUCCGCUGUGUGUUCUACGCGUGGGUCCUGGUCCUUGGAACAGGAAGGCCGGCACAUCAUGUGCUACCCUCAUCCAUAGCUCACUGAGUCCAUCUUGUGAUGUCGUACAUACACUGGAAGAUGAAUACUCUUGAAGAAAAGGAAAGAUGUGGGACCUGCUGGUACUUCGAGUGUAUUAUCUGGAGAGAAAGAUGAGGAAUUGGCGGAAGUACAGAGAAGUGUACAGGAAAGCCUUCCUAGUCUCUUUUAUGGCUGCUUCCUAUGGGGAGCAGAGGCCACUUAGCCUCAAGAGACUGCUCAGUUGCCUGUGAUGUUCUAACAUCUGCCUUUCUAUGCCCCACUUUCUUCUAUCUACCUUUAUCUCUCAUUUUUCCUACCUUUUUGCCAACUGUAUGUGCCGUACUUUAAAAGGUAUGCAGUAGUUAAAAACAAACGAACAAACAAACGAACAAAGAAUCCAAGGAUAUGGAUUUAAGUGUUCCUCUGCAUAGUUUAUUUACCUAUAUGUACAAAUAUUUAGAUUGAGUAUUUGUUUAUGUUAUUUGAAUGUAGGUAUUAUAUAGAUUUGUUAAAAUAAUAUCCAGCAAUGCCUUAUUUUCAAUAAGUUACCACAUUAGGCUCUAUUGUGGUAUGAAUGUGAACUGACCUCCAUAUGCUUGUAUGUUGAAAUACUUGGUUUUUAGUUGGUGGUAGAAGUUUGGAACCUUGUAAAAUGUGUUUUACACAGAGCCUUGAUGAAACAAGUGCCUCAGUGUUGGGUGAACCUUGGUGUUCAAAAGCCUGGUUCCAUUAUCUAUCAUCUGCUUCCUCACUGCAGAGGCAAUGAAAACAGCCACUGCCUUACCCUCUCUGCCAUGGAAGAAUGUAUAAUUCCUAAAAUUGUAAGUCCAAGUAAACCCUUCUUUAAGACAUUCUUGCCUAAGAUUUCUGUAUUGAAAAAUACCUAGAAUAUCAAUAAAGAAUAUUCCUGGGA